CUUUUUGUCAAAGGGAUGACAUGUGCAAAAUUUUCAUAAUUGGGUGGGAUUGAGACGUGAGCUCAUGACCUUGCUUGCUAUGAUACAAUGUUGAACUAGGAUUAGAUUACACUGAGCUGCUUUCAAUUAGAUUGACUCAUGUUAGUUUCCAUCAUUUUCUACAGAUAUGCAGCCAUUUGGGUGCUUGACAUAUUGUAAAGUCCAGUAAUUUUUCACAUAGACCCAUUAUACAAAAAUGCUCACCUUUAGUGAAGUAAUUGAGAGGGGGAACCGGAUGAAAUAAAUAGUGAGUGUUAGGAAGACCUGGCGAGGAGUAAUCUUUUCACGAAAAGGAAUUGAUUUCAAUAUGUAUCUUGCUUAUUCCUUGUUGCCUUUGUUCUAUUGGGUUCUCUCCUUUAUACAGUUGUGCUUAGUUCUUAUUUUUGAUACUGUGACCCAGGUUUCUUUUCCUUUGUUCUCUUGCUGAAUUGACGGGAAAUCUGAGAUCACAUUUUGUCUUCAACAAGUUAGAACAUUUUUAUAAGCAUACUUAGAUAAUUUUUUAUGGCUAAUCUUUGUGUUCAAAUUUGUUCAUUUAUCUCACCUAAUUCAAGUUUAAAAUAGUUGUUAAUCAUUGCAGGUGCAAGCUGUUACAAUCCAUGCCACCAAUUACUACUGCAUGACAGCUUCUCUUGAUAACACAUGGUGCUUCUAUGAAAUUGCUUCUGGUUUAUGUCUCGCUCAGGUCUCAGCCCUCCCUAUUCUUAAAUGCACCUGUGUACUAACUCAAAUGUUUAUCUCGUUAUAGCUCUGUUACUUCUGGUUUUAAGUUAUUUUCCAGGUUUAAGAGACUUCGGGAUCUUCUGAAGGCUAUACAUCUGCAUCUUUUCACCCCCGAUGGUCUCAUCCUUGGAACCAGUACCUUUGGGUCUGUACUUCUCAUGAUCAG
rnacentral:lncRNA from 1 species